AGUUGUUAAGUCUCUUAUUUCAUAGUCUUGUCCAGAGUCUCCAAGCUCUUUAAAUAAUGUUUUUUUUUCUCUCUUUUUCUCUUUUCAGAUGUCUUCAAGUGAAGAGCUGGAUGUCACGUCAACUGAGGAUGUCACUAGGCCAUCCAAGCCAGCCUCUCGGCCUGAAUCGCCGGCGUUGUCGCGCCAUUCGGUCUAUGAGCGGAAGCCGAAGAGUGAUCCUACCAAGAGGAUCAGCACAAAGACCAAGGUGACUGUGCCCAAGAGAAGGGCUCCUGCAGCUUCGGCAAGCCCCAAGAAGGCGAACAAGCAGUUUAUGGCAGUGGACCCUCGAGAUGUCGCGGUGAACCCCAAGACAGUGGUGCGCGCCCGCCCCUCCACAGAGGUCACCACCUCAACCAGCCUUUUGAGGAAGCCUAAAAGAGUUAGCCGCAUUCCGGUUAAAUGUGUUACUCCUCGGCCGCGGGCAGCUGCCUCAGCCGCAGCUCCAGGCCAGUCGGCCGUAGACGGGCCUAGACCCGCCGUCCAGCAGCCACCAGUGACGCUCGAUAUCGAGGACCUGCUCUUACAAACCCCGGAGCCUAUCAGGACACCACCUUCGUCAUCCCCGUUCCUGCCGUCCCUUUCGCCUUCCCCACCUGCUCCUCAGCACCAAGCCUCGCCCCGACCCGCCGUUGCUCCACCCACCUUUGGCUCACCCAUCGACCUGAUUUCUCCCUCCGUUGUAGUCCUUUCUCCUAUAGCCUCUUCGUCCUCAACGUUGCGUCCUCAGCCUUUGCAGCCGAUGAUUAUCAAGGUCGCUGAUGCUAGGCUGCAGACUCCAACCUGGAUGGUGGAGAGUCUCAUUGAGGAGUACCUCGGCAGGGAGCCGUCCAAGGAGCUGCCGCCCUGGUUAGUGAGGAAGAUGGAGUUGGCGGCGUGUCGGUCGCGCGCUAGGGCGCGUCGGCAUCAAGAAGAGCAAGCGGAAGAGGGCAGACGGCGCGUAAGCCAGCGCGACGGGCGGCGUCCAGAGCCCCGACGCAGACACCACCGCUCAGAUCAGCCACGCACCGGCUCUCGUCGCUCUGGAAGAGGUCAGCGGCGCUGACACCCUUUGUAUCUUGUCUCUUACAUCUUUUGUACCUUUGUACUUUUGUACUUUUGUAUUUUUGUAUUUUUGUAUUUGCAUUAGCGAGCUGUACGAAUAGAGUUUAAUAGCUUGCGUAAUCGUUUUGU
rnacentral:lncRNA from 1 species